rnacentral:rRNA from 1 species
CCCUUAGACGUUCUGGGCCGCACGCGCGCUACACUGACCAGUGCAACAAGCAUCCGUCCUUGGCCGACAGGCCCGGGCAAUCUUUGAACGCUGGUCGUGAUGGGGAUAGACUUUUGCAAUUUUUGGUCUUCAACGAGGAAUUCCUAGUAAACGCAAGUCAUCAACUUGCAUUGAUUACGUCCCUGCCCUUUGUACACACCGCCCGUCGCACCUACCGAUUGAAUGGUCCGGUGAAGCCUCGGAUUGGCGCGCACCUCGGUGCCGCCGAGAAGUUGGCUAAACCUUACCAUUUAGAGGAAGGUGAAGUCGUAACA